rnacentral:rRNA from 1 species
AUUGAACGCUGGCGGCAGGCCUAACACAUGCAAGUCGAACGAGUGGCGGACGGGUGAGUAAUGUCUGGGAAACUGCCUGAUGGAGGGGGAUAACUACUGGAAACGGUAGCUAAUACCGCAUACCAUCGGAUGUGCCCAGAUGGGAUUAGCUAGUAGGUGGGGUAACGGCUCACCUAGGCGACGAUCCCUAGCUGGUCUGAGAGGAUGACCAGCCACACUGGAAAUGAGACACGGUCCAGACUCCUACGGGAGGCAGCAGUGGGGAAUAUUGCACAAUGGGCGCAAGCCUGAUGCAGCCAUGCCGCGUGUGUGAAGAAGGUCUUCGGGUUGUAAAGCACUUUCAGCGGGGAGGCGUUACCCGCAGAAGAAGCACCGGCUAACUCCGUGCCAGCCGCCGCGGUAAUAC